rnacentral:rRNA from 1 species
GACGAACGCUGGCGGCGUGCUUAACACAUGCAAGUCGAACGGAAAGGCCCUGUUUUUGUGGGGUGCUGGAGUGGAGAACGGGUGAGUAAGACGUGAGUAACCUGACCUUGACUUUGGGAUAACUUCAGGAAACUGGGGGCAAUAGAGGAAAGGAGCGCAUGCUGCAUGGUGGGGGCUGGAAAGUGAUGGCGGUGGGGGAUGGACAGGGGGCUUAUCAGCUGGUUGGUGGGGGAGUGGCCUACCACGGCAUUGACGGGCAGCCGGCCUGAGCAGGUGACCGGCCGCAUUGGGGCGGCGGAGACGCCCAGACGCCUACGGGGGGCAGCAGCGGGGGAGAAUGCACAAUGGGCGGAAGCCGGAUGCAGCAACGCCGCGUGCGGGAUGACGGCCUUCGGGGUGUAGUCCGCUGUCGCCUGCGACGAAGCGUGAGUGACGGUAACGGGUAAAGAAGCACCGGCUAACUACGUG